ACUGGGACUGAGACACGGCCCAGACUCCUACGGGAGGCAGCAGUGGGGAAUUUUGGACAAUGGGCGCAAGCCUGAUCCAGCCAUGCCGCGUGUCUGAAGAAGGCCUUCGGGUUGUAAAGGACUUUUGUCAGGGAAGAAAAGGACAGGGUUAAUACCUCUGUCUGAUGACGGUACCUGAAGAAUAAGCACCGGCUAACUACGUGCCAGCAGCCGCGGUAAUACGUAGGGUGCGAGCGUUAAUCGGAAUUACUGGGCGUAAAGCGAGCGCAGACGGUUACUUAAGCAGGAUGUGAAAUCCCCGGGCUCAACCUGGGAACUGCGUUCUGAACUGGGUGACUAGAGUGUGUCAGAGGGAGGUAGAAUUCCACGUGUAGCAGUGAAAUGCGUAGAGAUGUGGAGGAAUACCGAUGGCGAAGGCAGCCUCCUGGGAUAGCACUGACGUUCAUGCUCGAAAGCGUGGGUAGCAAACAGGAUUAGAUACCCUGGUAGUCCACGCCCUAAACGAUGUCAAUUAGCUGUUGGGCAACUUGAUUGCUUAGUAGCGUAGCUAACGCGUGAAAUUGACCGCCUGGGGAGUACGGUCGCAAGAUUAAAACUCAAAGGAAUUGACGGGGACCCGCACAAGCGGUGGAUGAUGUGGAUUAAUUCGAUGCAACGCGAAGAACCUUACCUGGUCUUGACAUGUACGGAAUCCUCCAGAGACGGAGGAGUGCCUUCGGGAGCCGUAACACAGGUGCUGCAUGGCUGUCGUCAGCUCGUGUCGUGAGAUGUUGGGUUAAGUCCCGCAACGAGCGCAACCCUUGUCAUUAGUUGCCAUCAUUUAGUUGGGCACUCUAAUGAGACUGCCGGUGACAAGCCGGAGGAAGGUGGGGAUGACGUCAAGUCCUCAUGGCCCUUAUGACCAGGGCUUCACACGUCAUACAAUGGUCGGUACAGAGGGUAGCCAAGCCGCGAGGUGGAGCCAAUCUCACAAAACCGAUCGUAGUCCGGAUUGCACUCUGCAACUCGAGUGCAUGAAGUCGGAAUCGCUAGUAAUCGCAGGUCAGCAUACUGCGGUGAAUACGUUCCCGGGUCUUGUACACACCGCCCGUCACACCAUGGGAGUGGGGGAUACCAGAAGUAGGUAGGGUAACCGCAAGGAGCCCGCUUACCACGGUAUGCUUCAUGACUGGGGUGAAGUCGUAACAAGGUAGCCGUAGGGGAACCUGCGGCUG
rnacentral:rRNA from 1 species